UCUUUAGCAAUUAUAAGCUCAUGAAAUUUUCUUAACCAAAAAUUUUCAGAAAAGCACGAAGGUUUACUUCUAACAUGAAACUUCCAAGAUUUUAGCAUAAAUGUGAAAAAACCACCAAGUCACAAUUAUAUGGGCGGGAUAUGCUGAUUAAACAGUUUUGCAUCGUCCGUAAGUCUAGCGAGUACUUCCGAUGACGUUCGAUAUCCGCCACACCUUCUAUUUCAUGCCCAAUAUCAGUAUACAUAACUCAAAUUCACUCGAACACUCAUAAUCUUAAAAGCAAACGAGCGAAGUGUAUCAUGUUGCAGUGACUUUAUUUCAAAUUCUAAUCAAUUUAUGCGUGUUAUAAGUUGUCAAUCGAUUCAAAUGUCUGUGUUACACAUAUUACUUAUAUUUGGUUUUUUUAAAGUUUGCUUAUGUUAUAAACACAGAAUAUAUACUUUACAGAAGUACCACUCUUGAGUUAACUUGUCGCUAAUUUUUUAUGCGCAUGCUCCAAUUCCGCCAUCUUCUUGGCCAGUCAACAGCUGGCAGCGGUAUAUAAAACUAUAUGGUAAGAUGCGAAGUGGAGACUGGAAAACGUCGAUUUUUUUCAAUUGAGGCUGUUCAAUCUGAUGCGUAAUUCAUAAAAUAGCAAAAGCAAGGAUAUUUUUCUGUGUUAUUUAAGAAGAAAACAUCCAGGAAUAUCUGCCAAUUUAAAGCUGCACUGUUUAUACGAUACCAUUAAGACCAAUAUAUUACUAUAAAUUCUAUAUAGUUAUAGUUUUAUUGAACAUGUAAUUAACAUUUUAUCAGUGGUUAGGUAGAUAAAUAUACGAUAUAUUAAUCUUGUAAAUGAUCAUAUACCAUUAUAAUGUAUCUGAGAAAUAGUGAAUUGCAUAAGAGCAUACACACUGGCUGAACUGAAGUUUUGUACUGUUGUUUAAAUUUUGGUCAAUUACAAAGACAGACAUGAGCUAAUUGAAUGAUAAGAUAAUUUAUUACUUACCUUUGGUAUACAAAUAAAUCUUAGUUGGACUAAAA